UAUCAUGAAAUUAAAAAAAAAAAAAUUUUUUUAACUGUAAUUUAAAUAGUUGCAAUCAUUGAAAAUACUUGGAAUAACUGCAACUUCCUUGCAAUCUUGGAAUUAAAAAUUCAAUAAUGCAAUCACGAACUUCACGGAAUCUAUGAUUAGAAAAAAUUUUUUGUAUUAGCUUUUGUCUAAUCUUCAGUUAUUGGUUUUAUCAAUGAUUGCAAGAUUGAAAAAUCACGUGAAAUAACUUGUGAUCACUUGCAAUAGGAAAACAAAAAUAAUCACCUCGAACGUAGUAAAUGCAGUGUCAUUUUCACGACGUGGAUCUAAAUUCUUUUACAAUUUCCAUAAGCAAAAAAGCGUUCACUGAAAGCUUACCAGAUAAUCAAAUCAACAAAUAAUCAUG